GCCAAGCUCCUGUGUGUGCUUGGAGGGGGGGGGGUUGCAUGCAUGUGGGAAUGUGUGUGAUUGGUUUACCUAUUUAGAAGGAGAGAGAGAGGAGGGCAACAGAGAGAGAGAGAGAAAGAGAGAGAGAGAGAUUUGUACACUUGUAUUUGUAAACCGCUGGCUGAGUUCCCACUAGAGGCAGAGAGAUCAGACUGAAAGAGAGUGUGUGAGCGUGUGUGUGUGUGUGUGUGUCAGGACUGAGACGGAGAGAGACAGGCAGGCAGACAGACACAGAGAGGAACCGUUCCACCACUCCUCAGCCCGUCUACAUGAGGUUUCUUCCCGAAUAUGGAGGCUUUUCGCUCUCUUGAUUUUGUUUUCCUACCCUCCAGUCACCAAAGAUUCAUGCUGCCGAACUUUUGGCCACAUUUUUAGGCUGAAGGUAAAAAGGAACACAGGCUCGGCGGAGACAGAUGAGAGCUCUGUUAGUAGUUUUGCAGAAGGUGAGGAUGAUGACAACGAUGAUGGCGUUCGCCGCGUCUGCAGGGCUAUUUAAGGAAACAUUUGCAUCACAGCCUCUCCACACUCCUGCUGGCUUCUCUUCAAACAUUUUUUUUGAACCUCCACGUCUACAUGGGUGGGAACACGCCUUGGCAUGGUGUUGCUCCGCAAGGGCCAAGAAAAACACGGAAGCACACAAACACACACACACACACACACACACACACACACACACACAGAAUUGUAAUACUCACGGCACACAGCUACAUCUAGCUCGUCUUUCUGGGUGACAGCAUUACAAAGUUUCCAUUUUUCCAUUGUUAUACCCAUUUGUUCAAACCAAUGAUGGACAUAUACAACACUUGACAGGUCUGACAUCACAGCACGAUU